UUUUUCUCACAAACACCAUUACACUAUCUCUCCUCCACCUCACACCCUCUUUCCUCCGCAUCACAUCCUCUUUCCCAUUGAAUUUUGAACACAAUUAAACAUCCCCCAAAUCAAUUUACCAUUCCAAAAUCAAAUUUCAUAUUCCACGCCUUAAACCUAACCCUUCAUUGAUUUCCCUUCCCUCCAUCUCUUAUCUCCGGGAAUGGUGACACCAUAGUAACCACACGGUGAACGGAAUAGUGCCACCGACUCAAGGUCUGCGAAGAGGAAGAAAAAUGGGAAGCCAUUGAGAAGCGACUUGAUUUUGGUCAGGAUGAAAAACUCAUCGAAGAGGCUCACAGGUGCUAUCUUAAACACCUGACUCUGGAAAACCUCUUUCUAUGACCGUGGGGUAUGGUGGGGCGGGGGUUUGGGGCAUGAGUUGACACGUGGAGUUCGAGCCCCCCCCCCCCCCCCCCCCCCCGCUGCCGAGUGACGUGUUCGUGGGGUAUGGCGGAGCGUGGCUAGCCCGGCGUGGCAUGGCCAUGUGUAUAAAAAUAAAAAAAAUCUAAAAUUAAAAAAUACACACAACAUUUAAAACAAAAGCCUAAAAUUUUAUUAAAAUUUCCUAAACAUUAUUACAAAAUUCUACAAAAAAAAACCUAAAGCGUUAGGUAGAUUUCGAAAAGGGUGAGCUUGUCGAACGGCUUCCGCUCCUUGCCCCGGAACUCGAUGUUUGCCACCGUCACCCGGUCUUCGUGACUUAUCUCACCGCCCGGGAUGCUGUCGUAGUAUGCUAUAAAACGAUCGAGUUUCAGUUGUAGCUCGCGCCACUUGUGUUGGCACCCGUUUAAAUUGUGCCGGUCGUUUCCCACGUUGUGCCGGUAGUUUGCGAAAGCUUCCGGCCAGUAACGGGUCUCCCCGGGUUGGCGACCCUUCAUCGCGUCCACGAUGGUCGUGACAAGGGCUAGCUCUUCCUCGUGUGUCCAAGAGGCCAUCGAUCAAGUGUUUGUGGGUAGCGGUUCGGGUAGGUGACUUGGGUUGGGGUAGCGAUGGGGGACAGCCGGUGUGGUUGGGGGUUAUAUAGCGAUGGUGACAGUUGGGGUGGGUGAACCAUUUGGCUUGGCCAACGGUUAUAUUUUAAAAUUUAAAUGGCCCGCUAUGCCUAGCCAACAAGCCAAUAACAGCCGGCCACAUAGGAUUGCUAGCAUGCCCCACGCCCGGCCUUAAACUCCCGCCCAAGGGGCUACGCCCAAACCCAAGCCCACCCCAUACCCCACAGUCUAUGGCUUAUGGUGAUUUCAUUAAUGAGCGUCCUUCAAGCACUUUUACUAUUCGAGGAGGUAUUUAAUGUAUAUCUGCUAUGUAUUCAUGUUUCAAUCGCCUCAUCUUUAGCUAAUAUAUUCUUGUUUGUUUAAAAAAAUUUCGACUUUAAUCUGUUGAUUCUGUGUCUUUUGCCUAAAAGAGUAGUGAGUUCUAUUACACAAAGAAAAAUAACAUCAAAGCUUCAAAAUUUGCUUUUGGGGUAAUAACUUAUAUAAGUAGCUUGCAGGUUCCAAGCCAGCACCACAUAAGGAAAAAGGUCAAUAUGAUCAAAAGUUACUUAGAAGACAUCAUUUUGACUCGUUAUUUUGUCAUUUUACCUUUCAUCCAACUUCUAGAGAGCUGGUUAUCUUGAGCCACGGUUUUUAUUUAUAUUUUUAAUAUUUUUUCUCUGGCUUAAACAGAGGUGCUUAAUUUUUUUCAGUUAGACAAGGUGGUUACAUUUCUAUGUUAUUGCGGCUAAUUUAGUAUUUUGUGAAGGCCUAAUUAAAUCUUAGUGUAAUAGAUUUUAGCAUACUAUUAAACUCAUAUAUUUAAAACUCAAUUCCAGAUGAUUUUCCAUAUUGGCCCUAGCUUCUUAGCAAUUUUUAAAAACAAUUGUGUAUAUUGAUGGACUUUUUUACAAGGAGAAAAUUACUAGUAGCAAAUAUUGCCUCUGGCUGUGGUAUGAUAGAACUGCAUCGAAUGUAGGUCACUUUGGUAUCCACAUAAAUAUAGCAAAUGAUUAAUGGGUUGGACUGAGCUGUGAAGGUUAUGAAGAAACGAGAGUAGCUCUUCUAAUUUGCAUUAUAAUAAUAUUCAGUUUUACAGAGCUGGCUUAAGGACAUAGUGAACAUUUCACCUCUUCUUUGGUUAAGUUUUUAACUUGAUAUUAAUUGUGGUUAAGCAAUAUCUUGAUGGUGUAGAGAUAGGGCAGGAGGAUAGAGUGCUUCGAACUCCAAUAAGAGUUGGUGAUGCUGCACCAAUGGUAUAUAUUGACUGGAAACUAUGGCACGCUCAUUAGGAAAUGGGUUGAUUUAGGUUCAUAGACAGGGGAAAGCAAGCUUAGACAAUUAAAACCUUCGGCUCCACAACCAGCUCAAAGACCACCAUCGGAUCCUUGGCAAGAUCUCAGCUUAGCAGGAGUUUUGCAUCUCUUAAAGAAGUCAAAAGCUCAGAAGCAUCGGAAUAAACCUUCUGGUCACUGAAAUCAUCUCUGAGAUAUUAAAGCCAUCAACAUUUUCUUCGCUGAGGAUCAAGCUUAUCUUAGCACCACGUUUGCUUGCUGGAACAUAAGGUUAUACAACCCUAUUAUGUCACCAGGUGGAAUUGUCUGAAAAGGCUGACAUACAGUUUCAGAGUUGUGGUUCUUAAGAUCAUUUGCUGCAGGAGCUACUGAUCUUACACUUUCAUCCGAAUUGCAAUAUCUCCUAGAUUAUGUCAGUCCAACGUCAUUUUACUUGGCAAGGACCUAAUUGACCCGCAUGCAGAUAAAACAUCGCACGACUUUGUUUUGUGAAGGAGUUUUGAUUAGCUAAGACAUAAGGGCCAGCUAAUGGCCAAAAUGAAAACGGGAAGAGUUUUCCAAGGAAUGAGAUAAGGUUAUGUUGCAAGUGCUUCUAGAAGUGAUGUAUGUUGAGACAAAAAGUGUUGUUGUUGCAAGUGCUGCUAGGAUUGAUGCAAGUUUAUGUAUUUACAACUUAUGUAUGGAUUUUGGUUUAUUAUUGUUAAUAUUAUUAAUAUUAAUUUUGUUUUUUAGGUU